rnacentral:rRNA from 1 species
UACGGAGGGAGCUAGCGUUGUUCGGAAUUACUGGGCGUAAAGCGCACGUAGGCGGCUUUGUAAGUUAGAGGUGAAAGCCCGGAGCUCAACUCCGGAAUUGCCUUUAAGACUGCAUCGCUUGAAUCCAGGAGAGGUGAGUGGAAUUCCGAGUGUAGAAGUGAAAUUCGUAGAUAUUCGGAAGAACACCAGUGGCGAAGGCGGCUCACUGGACUGGUAUUGACGCUGAGGUGCGAAAGCGUGGGGAGCAAACAGG